ensembl:lncRNA
CAGACUCUGAGGAUGGGAGCCUCUCUGCUCUGGACACUGCGGUCCAUCUUGUUUUGUGUCGCCGUCUGCAAACAGACAACAGUUACAGGUGACAGGGCGACUCUAGAUGUCACUCAACAGUCUGUGUAUCUGAGGGAAACAGUGGAUCUGAAGUGCAGAGGUCAUGGAGAAAAAGUACUGAAGUUUUACAAAGAUGGGAAACUCGUACAAAAGGACUCACAACAUGUGCUGUACUAUUAUUCAGGCAUUUCAUAUCUGAACAUUUAUUCAGUGUCACAAUCAGAUGGGGGUUUGUAUUCGUGUGGGGCCAGUGAGGAAACACAAUCCCCUGAGAAAGAACUGAAAGUGACAGAAAGUACCCGCAGAGUUGAACUGACUGUGUCAAACACAGAAAUACCA